CUUUAAUAUGACAAAAACAUUAUCUCAUGCGAUAAAUACAAAUUUUCAAUUGAAUCGGAUAAACUAUAAACGAAUACAUCAAUGGACUUACGCGAGGAGUGAAAGAAUUUCUCGUCGAAUUCGUCGUCUACGACGAAGAGUUAGAGAGCAUAUCUUCCUCUUCGGUCAAUUCUUCAUUAUGUAACAUACGUUUCAUAUAGCUGUUCGAUAUAAAUUAGUGGUCAUAUUAUAUCGUUUAUCAAUGCCAGCGGAGGUGUCAGAACGUGCGCUCUCGGGAUCAGGUGAUUACACAUAAUGGGUACCGCGCCCGAGUCUUUUAACUCUUGUCACAAGGUGAAUUUCCAAUUUAAUUAAUAUAAUUUUCUAUUUUAAA